rnacentral:rRNA from 1 species
UACGUAGGGGGCAAGCGUUGUCCGGAUUUAUUGGGCGUAAAGAGCGUGUAGGCGGCCAAGCAGGUCCGCUGUGAAAACUCGAGGCUCAACCUCGAGAGGUCGGUGGAAACCGUUUGGCUAGAGUCCGGAAGAGGAGAGUGGAAUUCCCGGUGUAGCGGUGAAAUGCGCAGAUAUCGGGAAGAACACCCGUGGCGAAGGCGGCUCUCUGGUCUGUAACUGACGCUGAGGCGCGAAAGCGUGGGGAGCAAACAGG